rnacentral:rRNA from 1 species
CUUCAUGAAGCCGGAAUUGCUAGUAAUGGCAGGUCAGCAUACUGCCGUGAAUACGUUCCCGGGCCUUGUACACACCGCCCGUCACACCAUGAGAGUUGGGAAUACCCGAAGCCUGUGAGCCAACCGUAAGGGGGCAGCAGUCGAAGGUAGAAUCAAUGAUUGGGGUGAAGUCGUAACAAGGUAGC